rnacentral:rRNA from 1 species
AGGAUGAACGCUGGCGGCGUGCUUAACACAUGCAAGUCGAACGGUGAAGUGAGGAGCUUGCUCCUUGCGGAUCAGUGGCGAACGGGUGAGUAACACGUGAGUAACCUGCCCUUGACUCUGGGAUAAGCGUUGGAAACGACGUCUAAUACCGGAUACGACCUCCGAAGGCAUCUUCUGGAGGUGGAAAGAAUUUCGGUCAAGGAUGGACUCGCGGCCUAUCAGCUAGUUGGUGAGGUAAUGGCCCACCAAGGCGACGACGGGUAGCCGGCCUGAGAGGGUGACCGGCCACACUGGGACUGAGACACGGCCCAGACUCCUACGGGAGGCAGCAGUGGGGAAUAUUGCACAAUGGGCGCAAGCCUGAUGCAGCAACGCCGCGUGAGGGACGACGGCCUUCGGGUUGUAAACCUCUUUUAGUAGGGAAGAAGCGAAAGUGACGGUACCUGCAGAAAAGCACCGGCUAACUACGUGCCAGCAGCCGC